GGCAAGGGAAGCGAGGCCAUUGGCAGUGAUCUUUCGCGGACAGGGUAAAAAAACAACGAAUAAAAAAGGAGACAAAGGAGUUGAAGGGAGCGAAGAUAAUAAGGGAAACGUAACUGAAUAAACGAAAUCGGAGACAAGAGGUGCAGUAAGAAAAGUUCACAUAAAAAAACUGUUCAGAAAUAGCUAAUCCUCCUUCCUCUGGACGAUAAAAACUAACUCGGU